UGCCAAGGAGUUAUGGACCUUAAAUGAAGCGGACCUCGCCUAUGCUGAAGAUGAGGCUAAAGCCCUGAAGCCGCUAAAAGGAUGUCAAACAUGAGACACAACUGGAAUCCAGACUGAACACUGAGUCAUCACUUCAACACUGACUCCAGGGACGGACGAGCCUGAAGGACAAAGCUGAGCUGACCGUGUUCUGUCUCUUAUGGCAAAGAAGAAAAAUAAAACAUUGGGUUCUUAUCUAAAGUGUAUCAAAUCAGAAAGCAAAAAAAUGUAUGACACAUAUAGUUACUAUUACAUGCAAAUUACACAUGUAGCGUAUGAUAUUAACUUAUUAAAUGAAGGCCUAAUAUAAGAAAUAAUUGGUCAUGGUAGAAUGUAAGUGAGUUAAGUUACUCAGGAACUAUACAAUUUGAAAUUGGUGCAAUGUUGAGGUUUUUAUACUUCCAGUGAUGUUAUUCUACUUCAUAAUUCUACAACAUUUCAAAUGGAAAUAUUUGGCGUUUUUACAGUAUUAAUGUGAUAGUAUCUAAUCAGCAUUCUGAAGUGUGUUUGGACAAGAAACUGAAUCCUAAAUUGCCCAUGACAGCCUUGUGGAAGGUGGUUGAUAGAUACAAAUCCAAAUAUUUCCAUGACUUGUACAGUAAGGCGUUUUUUGAGUGGCUGAUAAGACUGAAAGAAUGUAAUCAUACACUCUAUGUACUGAAUGCAGGACCUGUGGCAAACUGGGGAUUGUUACACUUUGGUGUUGUUCAUUUUCUUUCUCCAUCACUGCAAUUAAAACACCUUAAAAUAA